AUUGAACGCUGGCGGCAGGCCUAACACAUGCAAGUCGAGCGGAUGAAGGGAGCUUGCUCCUGGAUUCAGCGGCGGACGGGUGGGUAAUGCCUAGGAAUCUGCCUGGUAGUGGGGGAUAACGUCCGGAAACGGGCGCUAAUACCGCAUACGUCCUGAGGGAGAAAGUGGGGGAUCUUCGGACCUCACGCUAUCAGAUGAGCCUAGGUCGGAUUAGCUAGUUGGUGGGGUAAAGGCCUACCAAGGCGACGAUCCGUAACUGGUCUGAGAGGAUGAUCAGUCGCACUGGAACUGAGACACGGUCCAGACUCCUACGGGAGGCAGCAGUGGGGAAUAUUGGACAAUGGGCGAAAGCCUGAUCCAGCCAUGCCGCGUGUGUGAAGAAGGUCUUCGGAUUGUAAAGCACUUUAAGUUGGGAGGAAGGGCAGUAAGUUAAUACCUUGCUGUUUUGACGUUACCAACAGAAUAAGCACCGGCUAACUUCGUG
rnacentral:rRNA from 1 species